rnacentral:SRP_RNA from 1 species
GCUGGGCGUGGUGGCUCAUGCCUGUAAUCCUAGCACUUUGGGAGGCCGAGGCAGGUGGAUCACCUGAGGUCAGGAGUUCAAGACCAGCCUGGCCAACAUGGUGAGACCCCGUCUCUA